GGAGAUUAGGACACAGACACACACAGAGGGAGGACCAAGUGAGGACACAGGGAGAAGAUGGCCGUCUACCAGCCGAGGAGAGAGACUUCAGAGGAAGCCGGCCCUGACAACACCUUGCUCUUGGCCUUCCAGCCUCCAGAACUGUAAGAAAAUCCAUUUCUGUUGUUUGCGCAGUCUUGCGGUACUUCGUGAUGGCAGCCCCAGCAGACUCCCACACCCGCUCUCCCAGGCCUAGUGUAUAUUAGGCCCCCACAGCCCCAGUGCCUUGGCCGGAUUCCAGUUCAGGAAAAACAGCAAAUUGGCAAACAUCAGGAAGCGGGUACACCCCCUCUGAUUUACAAGGAAGAGUGCAGGGUGACUCUAUAGCUCAGGA